CCUGGGGCACACCAGCAUUUAUUUUGUGGUUUUCAGACUUAAAUCCAUCCAAUACAACUUUUAUUGAAUGACUCGAAAGGUAAUCACUAAUCCAAUGAAGGAGGGAUUCGUGAAAACCGAAAGCACGCAUUUUUGAUAAGAGAGCCUGAUGCCAAAGCCUAUCAAAUGCUUUUGAAAUAUCUAGUGCAAUAAUCUUAUUUUCUCCAAAACUAUGUAAAGAUUUGUUAAACUGUUCGGUGAGAUAAACCAUGAGAUCACCAGUGAACCUAUUGCUACGAAAGCCAUACUGUCGGUCAUUAAGUAGCUUUGGUUCCUCAAGAUAUUUUUUGAGCUGAUAAGAAAUCAGUGUUUUCAUUACCUUGGAAAGAAGGGACGUAAGUGCAAUCGGUCGGUAAUUAUACGGUGAAGAGGAUUCGCUUUUUUUGGGGAAUAGGCUAUACAAAUGCGGUUUUCCAUUCGCUCGGAACGAGACCUGAGGAGUAGGACAGAUGAAAAAGCUUACGCAGUGGUUUUGGCAGCGAUUAAGAACACCUCUUCAGAACAAUAGCAGGCAUACCAUCCGGACCAGAAGAUUUAUGUAUGUUAAGAUCUUUUAGGACUCUCGCUACAGUACGAGUGCGAAAAAAGAUUUGCCCCAUAGAAUCAUUAACUCGAGCAUGUACAGGCGGAGUCAUAACACUCUCUGGCAGCGUUGAAUUGGCGGCGAUCUGCCUAGCAAAGAGAUUUGCUUUCUCUAAGGAGCUAACAAAUGAACUGUCAUUGACAAAUGACCAAAAAUUUGUACUGCCUUUGGAACAUUGCAGUAUUUUUUGCCGUAAUUUUCGGUCAUGUAAAAAUUUGGUCCGUCGAAUAGGGGCGUUGUAGGCCUUCCUGGCUUGCUUGAACCUAUUCCGGUUUUCCUCAGUUGGAUUGGCUUUAAAACAACGAAAACUUACCUUCUGACCCUAAUAACCUCUUUACAGCUUGCAUCGAACCAUGCGUAUUCCUUAGGUCUAAUGCUUUUAACCCUAUUCGGGAUAAAAGUUCUCAUUCCCAGGAGAAUGAAACUUGUGAUCAUAUCAGCGCUGGCGUCAACGUCACUAUCGAGGAAGCAUAGUGACCAGUUAAAGAACCUGAAGUAAUUAUUGAGACCGUCCUUUCUCGUAUUGCCAAACGGUUCUCUUAGGAGCUCUUUCUUUAACUGGAGAGUUUUUACACGAGCAACUUGCUGAUAUGACACAAUGGUCAGAUGUGCCUAGAGGAGAUAGAACACUAAUAGUGUAUUUACCAGGGUCAGCGGUAAGAAACAAGUCAAGAGUGUUUUCUGCUAGACCUACCACGUCCGAUAUUCGAGUGGGCUCUUUGACCAGCUGAGUUAGGUGGUUUAACUCAGCGAAGAUCUCAGCACACACCCCUUCUGGUGUUGACUGGCCCGCAUGUUGAAGCCAUGAAGAAUUGUGUACAUUGAAAUCGCCCGUAACAACGAUUUAAGUGCGAGGAUAGGACGAAACAGUUCUUUGGAUGGAAUCAGACAAAGCAUCAAAUUCACGAGAAGUUGACACUCUGUCUAGAUUUGCUUAUUUACUUAAAAUUUAAACCACAUAAAAUUGAAAAAGAAUUGGUGCCGAGACAAUAUUGUGCCAAAAACUGAUAAGCAACAUCAUUCCUAAUGUAUAUGGCGAGAGCAUGGUGGGAAAAGAAUAAUGGCACCAAGUUAUACCCUUGAAUAAAGAAUUCAGUGGGAUCGGAAUCCUCACCGCCUUGGUUUUCACUUAGUGCCAAUGCAGCUGGGCUGUUUAAAGCAGUAUGGGAGUACAUAGAAAGAAAAUUCGCCCUAAGUCUACGAAUAUUACAAUAAUAUACCCUGAAAUUUUAAAGCCAUUGCAAAUAAAAGAAUAACAAAAACCAAAACAGACGAAGACUAUACGAAAAAUAUUACUGAGUUGAACUACGGAAUGCUAUUCGAUACACGCCACUACUAGUGUUAUGCCUUAGUAGUGACAAAAAUCGAAUCCGGCUCUGUUAAUGGAAAACAGUAAAAUUUUUGUUGUCAACAAUCUGCUAUCAACGAUGACGUAGUCUGUGUAUCAAUUGCAUUAGUUAUUGAACACAAUGCAAUUUGAUACACAUGCUAAGCCAUGCGACUGUACGAGAAAAGAGGAAAGUGAAGGAUGGUACUCACUGUGCUAUGUUGAGUUGGCUCAUCAUGAUAUGAAUUAUUUUUUUGUUGGUUGUUUGUUGUUUUUGUUAUAUUGUAGUUGAUUUGGUGUGGCGUGGUUUAUUGUUUUUUUAUUUUUUGUUGUUUUUUUUCAUCACUGUUAAUAUUUAUUUGAUUUGCUAUUUUUUUGCUAUUUUUCUAUCUGUUCUAUUAAAUUCUAUGUCUCAAUAGUGAACUGUUAUAUUUUACAAAACGGUCUAAAAAAGUUUGGGUAUUGGUUCAAUAUUCAGUGCCUACUUUUGUAUAGGUAUAUGGACAGGUGUACUACAUUGUGUUUUACACUUAAGAACAAUCUGCUUGUCUUUAUAGCAUAAACUCGUCACCUUUAUGUAAUUUGUUUAUUUUUAGUAGAUCUAACUAUGGGGUAGAAGCAUUGAAUUAUUACAAAUAGAAGUGGACACCGAACAUUGCUCAAACGACCAGCGACUUAGGAGCAUCCAGCUGAAACACAUCGGAUGAAACAAAACGUGCUUUAUUCGAAUGAUAAUGAAAGGCACUCUAUUUAAAGACCGGAAACCAAUCUGUCAUUCUGGUUUGCCUACAAGCUAGUAUCAAUUCUAAACUACUAAUUGAUUCACCACUGCAAUAGUCAAUGCACCACUGUUAAAGUCAAUUCACCACGAAUUGAUGAGAAAAUACGAAGAAUGAAUUGUAUGGUGCUUACCUGACCUUAAAUGGACAAUUUUGUUGCAGCAUUGGUUGAUAAGGAAAAAUGUUUUAAAUCUUAUGCAGAAUAUAGGAAUAAUACAUUAAAUCGGAUGGGCCUGAAAAGUGUGUUAUACAGCAAAAAGAUUUUUUGGAUCGGCUCUAACAGCAUUUUAAACGCAUACACGUUUUAGCUUGAUAUCCAAUUAUUUCAAAAUGAAGAAGAUAAGCAAUAAGCAAUCUAAAAUAUUCGUUACAAUAGCAGAAUUAUGCCGUGUUUUUAAUAUAAAUAGCAAGAACUUUUAUUUACAAUUUUGUUAACUUUGAAAAAUAAUAUAUGCAAUUUUUUUUAUUAUGCACUUUCGUUGCGUUUGAGUUUGAAAUCAUGGCGGAAUGUUCAUAUGCGAGGUGUCUUCAAGAACGACGUUACAUCAAACGUGAACUAAUGAAAUGGUCAAAAGAUAUGCUGUACAUUUUUGG